AAUAAUAAUAAUAAUAAUUAAGGUAAGUGUAACGUACAUUUGCAUUUUGCAACAGAAACAGCUUCUUAUAGAGUAUUGUUUUACAGGCUAAUCUUUUUUUAUGUAAUGUAUUCAAAUGUAAUUAUAAUUAGGAUUGGGAUAAUACAAAAAUAUACUUUUUGCUUAGUGAUAUCUAUUACAUUGUGACAGAAUUUGGUUUCUCAAUAAUUCUCAUCCUGAGUGCCAAACUGAUCAACUGCAUCCUAAUGGAACGUUCAAGAUGUGAUUCAGUAACUGAUACGGUUGUUGCAAUAAUUAUUUUUGACCAAAUUGAAUCCACAAAAUAAUUGAAGAAAUGGUUUCAGAUGAUUACGAACAAGCGCAGCUAUCUUUGGAGAGGUAAUGCACCUACUGAUAUCCCGUGAUAAGAACUUGGGAGAGAUUUAGUGAAAACCUGGAGAACGGCCACUUAGCUCACAAAUCUG